ensembl:lncRNA
AACACCACCGGCUGCCGGCUCACUGCGCUCCGGAAAAACGCAUGCUUUUGGCUCUGAUUUACGCGGCUCCCUGUCAAUUUUUCAGUUUCGUAGUUUUGAAAGUGUUUGUGAUUUGACUUCAGUCCCGAACGUUCGGUGUCCGCACGGAUGAUCCCCGUGGACGCAUCCUCGUCCCCGGGGGAACACGCAGCUUUUCUUUUGGUAGACUUCAGCACCCGCUCCGUCUUGCAGGAGAAGUACAGAGCCUCCACAUCCUCCCGCGAUAUGAGAGUGCAUUUAGCAGCAUGGAAGGCUAUGGAGUUUAUUGCUUUGAGCUUCCGCAGCUCCUCCAGGUCGCAAUGGUGCUUUUUCACCUUCAGGUGGUCCAUGCGCUUGUGCACCGUGGUCCGAGGGAUGUUCUUCAGAAGGUCGGUGAAGACCUGAGACAAAGCAAACAUCUGUUUCCCUUGGAUGAGCAGCAUGGUGGAGGAAUGCGACGGGACUGCCGUGAUACCUGCCUCCACUGGUUCCACUCCCCUCUCUGUUCGGCAGCAGGACGAGGGGGUAAGUGUACACCACUGCUUCGGCCAGAUGGGUAAAAUAGCAAAGACGAGGGAGGGAGAGAGGGAGUGAGAGGGUGGGGAGGUGGAGGAGGAGGGAGACAGACUAGGAGAGAUACAGAAUCAGAGACAGGGAGAAACAGAAUGAAAGCUAAAAUGCAGCUGCUUUCUUUGCUGCUGGCGGAGCUGCAAAUGAAAUGACCAGGGAGGGGAGGUGGGCCAGUGAGGAGACACCUUCAUCAAUUAAUGCUGGCGGAGUCAACGCCCAUUGGACGCCGCUGACAGGUGAUGCAAUAAAAAUGGAUAAUCCAUCCCCACCCCCUCUCACACCCCACCAUUACAGUACUUUACAAUUCAGUCCUAAAGGGGGAUCGCUGUUGUUUCAUUGGAGGGAGCAGAAGAGGGGGAAAAAACAGAUUUUUUGCUGAAUUACAGAAAGAAUAAGCAUAUAGUGAAACCUAGUACAUUAUAUUUGUGUAUACUCUCCUUACUGUUUAUUCCAAAAAAAGACACGCAGCAAAAUAAACUACAUUUUUGUAAACUUCCUUUAUUUUAUCGUGUGCCUCUUAAAGAGCUUUGCUUUUCUCCAAGCUGCUUUUCCCAACAAAUAUAUUAGAUAAUAGCCAUAAUCUUUUGAAUUUGUUUUACUUUUUGUAUUGAUAAGAAUAUAUGGUAUAUUCAAGAAAAAAUAAAUACAUUUUGGCAUUUGUUUUAAAAACCAGAAAUAGUUUUUUUUUUCUAGUAAAGGCGCCCGUGUUUAUGCCAAAUUAACAACCCGAUUACUCUUUUGUGAUGGUCAUGUGAAUUUAGGAGUCAUGCUGAGGCAGCAAAAUUGUUGUUAAAUUGCUGCAUGUUAUCUAGACCUGCUAAAACAAACGGCGAGGGCGGAGGACAGACGCGCUGAAGUCAGGAUUGCGCUUCGCUUCACGCUCUUCUGUCAAUUUCUGAUUUGGUCCCCUUAAAGUAAAAUAUGAGAACAUUUGUUCUUUAAAUCUUUUGUUUGCAUAUCCAAGCCGCUUUCCCGAAGAAAAUUAUGAUUAGUUAUGGUUAGUGUAAUUAGGAGAUGAUUUGAUUUUACUCAGUUUUUGGUGACGAAUACGGAUUUUAUGUAUUUCUACGCACGUGAGCACACGAGAUCUUAGUGUUGCAGCACCUUAUCCACGAUGCAGGCUUUUUGUGUGUGUGGAGGUGAUGCAUCUGAAGCCCCCACCCAGCGGGUUUUCCGGGUUAUUUAUAUUUGGAUUAAUUGUUAAAGCCACAAUAUUCUGUUCGGAUUUACUAUUGUGUUUCUCCCCUGAGUAACAUCUCCUUCUACUCUUCCUCGCCUUUGCCUACCGUCUUUGUUACUAUAUCAAACACGACAAUCCCCCGUGGCCCGUUUCUUAUCGGCAGCGCUGAGGUCAAAAACUCAAGACUGGGCAUGCUCAUUUCCACGUCAAGCCAGCUUGUAAUUAUUUUCAGAUGCGCCCACAUUUUGAAUACUAGGUCCCAAACUCUGAUGAUGCACCGAGCACGAUGCCCUGCAAGUGCAGGUAUAAACGUCACGCCCGUGUGCGCGCAGGACACGGAGCUAAAUCACCGUUGCAGUAGAGGGCGGUUAAAAACUGGCUCCUGUCGAAAAUAAGAAUGCAAUAGAAUGCCAUAAAUAAUCCAAAUAUAUUUAUUUUAAGUGUAGUUUCUUUUUUAGGAAAAAAACUACUUUAGUUUCCGGCUUGACAAGAAAACAGCUUUUACGCACCACAAAAACCUGAAAGUAUACGGGCCUGUCACAGCAAGAGCUCUCCUCGUUUGUGCAAACUGUGCGCCUUUUUGCAACUGUUUGCAACUGUGACUGAAAAACGGGCUGCAGUGGAGCGCUACCAGCUUGGGAGUCAUUUAACCCACAUUCCGAAAUGCGCACAUGCGUCAUGUAGGACCUGCACGUGGAGCGCGGGGGGAAAUCGCCUUCACGUGCUGACGCCAUAUGACAGCCAAAACCAAAGAAAGGAGAGGAGUUUGGAGUGUGUGGCCGGGAGGUGUGUGUGUGUGUGUGGGGGGGGGGGGGGGGGUGCAGCAGCAGAUCCCUCUGGGGGAUAGCUGCAUGUCCUGGAGCCUCUGUGCAGGGAUGCAGCAUGAAGGAACAGACCCUAGAGGCUCCAUUCAUCCAAUCUCCUGACCGCCGCGUGUCUUUGCUGUCUGGAUGACCCGCAUUUUUGUGUCCCUAACACAUUUUUUUUUAUUUUUGUUCAUUUCCCUCUGAUUCUAUUCUUUCAUAUAUUUUUAUAUAAAUUUAUUUAUAAUAUAUUCAUACGUUUGGAUUUUGAAAUAUGAUCCAUCCUCUUCUGGAUGUUCUGUGGUUGCAGAAUUUACAACAAAACAAAUAUAUUGAAAAAUAUUUGCCUUGUAGCGCGUCAAAACGGAAUUAACUUUCAAUAGAAGUUGUGAAAGCGCGUCCAGUGCGCGCUCCAACCUUUGUGUCAAAAUAGGAAACCAUUGCAAUAAUUGUGUAGAUUAAAGACAAAAAUCAGAGUAUCCAAAUGAAUGUUCAGUUCUUCCUGAGCAGGGAGCUCCUUCAGCUCACCAAAUGGCACAGAGGGGCAUUUACUCCCGACUUCCUCCGCCUCUAUGCGUCUGGAUUCCGGCCUGGACCGGUGAAGAGGAAAUGAGAGCGAGUGGCCGACAGAGAGACGUCAAGAGCGGUGUGGAUUUCUCAAGAGCCCGCAGAGGGUUGGUGUGAUCGGGAAAAGAUCUCCAGAUUGUAGCCCUGAUGAAGUUGGUCCUGAAUACAUCUGAGGGAGCCCAACGCACGCGCGGGUAUCGGGUAUCUGCAGAACUGAAGAUCAACUGUUGGGAUUUCAAAUGAACAAAAAACAAACAAACAGAAUGCAUCAAUGAAAAGGACGACAUUUCUGAAUAAUCUGAGUGUUAAAAAUGUAUUAUUAACCUGAAUUAUGUGAAUAAAUGGAAUGAAAAAAAUCUGAUAAAAAGUACAUAAGAAAUGAACGCGUAGUGUUGAUUAUUUCUGCUUCUCUCUAGUUGGAAUUGACGGAACCUGGAAUAAAUCACGAACUGUUUUAUGAUUAUGAAUGGAUCUAAGUGACUUUAAAUUAACAGGUUUCCAAGAGCUUGCGGUGCAGAUUAUGCGAAUCUGGUGUUUUAGAUCUGUGUUCAGCCAUCGCCAUCAGACCAAACGCGCUGCUGCUUCUGCUGCAGCUCCAAGUCAUUUGUUUUGCAUCGAGUUUUAUGAAGACACUUGGUCAAGGAGGCGCGGGCACUUGUAGGAGCACAGGCUCUUUAUGACACAAACCCACUGCCCCAUGCCAAAACAAUGAAUUCCUCUCCACCCCCCACUACCACGGGAGAAUGCGGUUUUACAUGCAAUCUGAGCCUGAAGUAUGUGCGGACAGUGGUGGGGGAGGGCUCUCUUCACCUUUCACCCCACUGUGUUGGGAGUGUUUGUAUUUUUGCCUCGGCCUCUGCGCUCUGAAGAAGAGAGCAUGAUUAAGCUCCACACCAAGGGGUCUGGAUGAGCUGUAAUCAGGAAAAUGAUGACUGUUUGUUGUGUGCAACUUUUUUUUUAAAUCUAACUCAGCAGCACUCCAGCAGCUCUGAUUAAGAGCAGGUUUUUUUGUGUUUCCCACUAUUUUUCCCCCCAACAUGUCUAUAGUUCUUUAAAAAAAAUAUAUGACAUAGGUGAAUCACAGCCCUUUCCAGACAGAACCCUUGCCUACAAUAGCUAACUAUAAAGUCCUUUACAGCCCAUAAUUACUUCUUAAAUUAAUAUCAGGCUUAGUCAAAUUUAAUGAGGCAUAAGGUCACAAAAGAUGAAAAACAUGAGGCAGAAUUUGCUGCCAUAUUCAAACUCCUGCAGCGCACAAAGUUUAUGAAUUCAUAGAUGUGUGCAGGGGCUUUGGAGUUGUUGUUUUUUUUUUAUGUUAAUAUCUUCCCUGUUAAUCUUCCACAGUAAAACUGAUGAGAUCUGUUUCCAUUGUUUGAAAAUAAAAGUUCUAUUAGCGCUCAUUUGUUAAGGCUUACAAGCUCAGUCUGUGAAAACAUUCCUGUCAGACUGCAGUGGGGUUUUGCUUUGCUUGGACACACCACACACACACAAACACACACAUUUGUAUGCGCACACGCAUAAAAAUUCUCUCCUUAUCUUAUUUUAGAAAAUGAAACAAGAUGAAGAACUUUGGCAGAAUUCAAAUACAAUAAGCAAGAAUUGCCUGCUGGUGGCCUAGAAAUCUCCCAUUUUGAGGAAAUGUAGGUAUUUUGUUUUUUUGUGUGCUUCUGUUCUUUAUUUAUACACAGUCAUGUUUCUAUGAGAAACUUCUGCUGUAUUGUGAAUCCACCGAACACUUAAACAUACACAACAAAAUAUAUUCUUGUUGCAACAUGUGAAAAAAAGUGGGAAAUUCAACACUAACUACUUAAAAAUGGUGUAAUAAGUUCCCUAUUUAGUUCCUAGUUCUCAUAGAGUUUGCAUACUGCAACGCUGUAAGUUUUAAUAUGGUUUUUAAAUUAAUUCUUGACUCUGUCUUUUCAUCUCUUUUGAUUUGAAAUUAAAAUAAAGUUGAGCUGAAUAUUUGUGCAAUAGUAGAUUGGUCAAUUGACAAUUGAUAACUGUUGUCUCACUUAUUUUUAUGCAAAAGUAUAAUCAAAACUGAGAAAUUAUAAAUGUUCUUCACGUCAUCUACAGAGCUGAGAUCACUUUUAAAACACUUGGGUUGUUACUUCGACCCAACUGUUUGGUUAAUUAUGUUGAGGUAUAUUUUUGGGGUUAUUUUUUAGAGCAACACAAUAUUGUGUUUAUUUCCCCUGAGUUUUUACUUUUCCUGAAUUAAAACAAACCAGCAAAAAGUUAGUUCCUUAAUUGAGUUUGGUUUAAAACUACCCAAUUUGGGUUGUUUUCAACUGUGGAGUUUUUAGUGUUUGUCAACAAG